rnacentral:lncRNA from 1 species
AGUGUGGCACAGACGUGGCGAAGGCUCAGCUCCUUCUGGAUCUGCAGCCCACCAGGCUGCCGCGUGGGGCCGGGGGAGGUGCCCGCAGGCCUGUGGCUGCUAUUUACUCCACUGCUCCAAAAGGGCAUAAAGCGAAUAAAAACAACUUUCCAGCCGCGGAGGCGCGAGCACUCUGGCUCUGGAAAGGUCGGAGACAGCCGGGAUCUCCCCGGCCAUCCGCAGGCACCCACCGGUCGUGCCCUUUCUGGCUUUUCGUUUCCUCUCCCUCGACUUCGCUUUCCGGCCCCCCCCCCCCCCCCCCCCCCCCCCCCCCCCCCCCCCCCCNNNNNNNNNNNNNNNNNNNNCCCCCCCGCCGCGUUUCUUCCUGCAAAGGGCCGGGGUACCUGCCGCCCCGCCAGCGAGCUGCCUCCUGCCACAGCAACAUCCAUCUCGGGUUUUAUUUCCUCCCGAGACACCCGAGGAAGCCUCAGGUCUCACAAGUCUGCUUCACACUACGGAGGGCUCUCACAGUGCGGCUUCCAGAGAGCAUCUGAAAGCAAAAAUACAACGAGAGAGAAGAAGAUAAUUUGGGAGUAACCUGAGCCUGUCAGAAACUGGUAAGAUCCAAGAAACCAAUCCCUACUGACACUCAGGGCACCUUGUAAAUUCAUUUACUGACUCCAAAAUGGUCUCUUUCUUAUUGAAUAGGUUUUUUGGUUUUUUUCUUUUUGCAUAAACUUCUUGACUGUUAGCAACUUGUUUUUUAAAUGACGUUAGAGUGCUCUCUUUUAAUUGGUAAAAAACAAUCUCUUGCAUCAUGAAGGAUGUCAUUACAGGACGCAGACCUCCCCUCAGUAUCCAGUUUCCUCCACAGACACUUAGGUAGGAAAGUGGGUCAGAAGGGCCCAUCAUCCCAGUCAUAUUCUUUCUUGUAUGUUUAAUUCAACAUUGUUUUGUACUUAUAAGGAAUUGUUACACUAAUCAUCGUUUUGCCAAAUUGGCCAUAAUAUAAUCCACCUACCACUGACCAACUACAGAAGAAAAAUUAAACAAACGUUUUGCUGUUGUUAUCCUUUUUUUCCUAGGGGUUGAGCUUCUGAAGCCAGGAGGUCACUUGGAUUAUGUAUACAACUUUGGUAAUUGCAUUCCUAGAUUCUACAAAAUGCCAUGGCACUCACUGGAGUCCAAAAUAGCUAUUGCAAACAAUGACAAUUACUGCCCAGACAUUUUCAAACACAG